UUUCAGACCCCGCUAGAGAAUUUUAUUUUUUUACAAGAAGCGACUAGCGAAAAAAUUUAGCGAGUUUUCCCGGCGACGUCGGCGACUUUUGGAGAGUUUUUUGUUAACCUGAAAUCCUCCGCUAUCACUGUGUUUUGUGUACAUACCGCCUUCUACUGCGCCCGUUCGUGCGCUUUGGCAUCGCCCGGACCCCCAAGAGUACCUGACUGUUGGUUUGUACCAUAGCAAAGCAUUUCGGGGCGGACCCGCCCUCAAGUUAGCCGAUCCGUUCAGGCUGUUCCUCAGUUCUGGCCCUCCGGAGAGGACCCGGCCCGCCCACGGACAGCGGCUCUCACACAGAAAGCAGGAAGUGGACGGCAGCGCUUCUCUACGAUGCAGAGUCGUGUUUCCCAGGCUGCCCCUGAACACAUCCUAAAGCCUGCAGCAGACAGAUGGAGGUGUGCUGCUGACCCUGUG